GACGAACGCUGGCGGCGUGCUUAACACAUGCAAGUCGAACGGUGAAGGGACCAGCUUGCUGGUUCUGGAUGAGUGGCGAACGGGUGAGUAACACGUGAGUAACCUGCCCCCUUCUUCUGGAUAACCGCAUGAAAGUGUGGCUAAUACGGGAUAUUCUGGGUCUGUCGCAUGGCGGGCCCGGGAAAGAUAUUGCUUCGGUGGGGGAUGGGCUCGCGGCCUAUCAGCUUGUUGGUGGGGUGAUGGCCUACCAAGGCGGUGACGGGUAGCCGGCCUGAGAGGGUGGACGGUCACACUGGGACUGAGACACGGCCCAGACUCCUACGGGAGGCAGCAGUGGGGAAUAUUGCACAAUGGGCGCAAGCCUGAUGCAGCGACGCCGCGUGAGGGAUGGAGGCCUUCGGGUUGUAAACCUCUUUCGCCAGUGAAGCAGGCCUGCUACUUGUGGGUGGGUUGACGGUAGCUGGAUAAGAAGCGCCGGCUAACUACGUG
rnacentral:rRNA from 1 species